CAUUUGGGUGAGUAUGCCAUGAAACAAAGCAGGACAGCUAAGAGGAAAGAAAAUGCUGAUGUAGAGUCAACCCUUCAUGGCCUCCUUCCUCACUGAAAAUACAACAGCAAGGUGAUUUCUGGUAGCGCCCAUAGUGUAGGAGCACUCACAGCUAGGAGUUCUCUGGCAGCUGAAAACUAACUACCUGCACUGAGGAGGCUGAAAAUGUAGGCUGAAGCAGGGGUAAAUUAAGAAAAACAGGAUCACAGAAUCAUAGAAUCGUUUUGGUUGGAAGAGACCAUCAGGAUCAUCAAGUGUAAACACAGUGUAACUCUAGCACUAAACCAUGUCCCUAAGAACCUUGUCUAAAUGCCUUUUAAACACCUGCAGGGAUGGUGACUCCACCACUUCCCUGGGCAGCCUGUUCCAAUGCCUGACAACCCUUUCCAUUAAUAAAUUUUUCCUAAUAUCCAAUCUAAACUUCUCCUGGCACAACUUGAGGCCAUUUCCUCUUGUGCUAUCACUUGCUACUUGGGAGAAGAGACCAACCCCCUCCAUGCUACAACCUCCUUUCAGGUAGUUGUAGACAGCAAUAAGGUCUCCCCUCAGCCUCCUUUUCUCCAGGCUGAACAGCCCCAGUUCCCUCAGCUGCUCCUCAUCAGACUUGUGCUCCAGCCCCCUCACCAGCUUUGUUGUCCUUCUCUGAACUCUCUCCAGCACCUCAAUGUCUUUCUUGUAGUGAGGGGCCCAAAACUGAACACAGGAUUCAAGGUGGGGCCUCACCAGCAUCAAGUACAGUGGGAUGAUCACUUCUCUAGUCUUGCUGGCCACACUAUUCCUGACACAAGCCAGGAUGCUCUUGGUCUUUUUGGCCACCUGGUUACACAGCUGGCUCAUGUUCAGCUGCUGUCAAUCAAAACCCCCAGGUCCUUUUCCCCCAGGCACUUUCCAGCCACUCUUCCCUGGGCCUGUAGCGCUGCCUGGGGUUGUUUUGACCCAAGUGCAGGACCCGGCACUUGGCCUUGUUGAACCUCAGACAAUUGCUCUCAGCCCGACAACCCGGCCAGUCCAGAUCCCUCUGUAUUGCCUUCCAUGACCAUGGCACAGUCAUGGUCAGACAUAGCUCAGAACACAGGGGCAGCUCUUAAGAUGCUGCCCAAGCAGGACACAGUGCUCAGCAAAUUUAUCAUGAACAAAUUUUCAAGAAGAGUUUGAAUCUUAGUUGAGUUGUUGAAAGAGAGAUUAUGGAGACAUCACUUCAUGCUUCAUGUGAACUAGAAGGAAUUUACUGAGAUAUUUAUAUGGGAUCAUGCCAAAUGUCCUGUAUAGGACAAGAAUAACCCCACUGCCAGCAAGACAAGGUAAUCUAGCAGUAAAGAGGUGUUAAAAUGCUCCACACCUGCCCUUGUGAAAGUGAACUGGUAUCAGGUACAAUAAAAGGCAGUCAAAUCUUAGUCCAAGUGGAACUUGGGUUUCUUUUUCUAGGGCCCAAUCUGGUACUGCUUUGAUACAAAAAAGGGAAGGAGAGGAAAGAAAGAAAGGAAAGAAAGGAAAGAGUGAAAGAAAGAAAGAGAAGCAGUGUUUGAUUUCCUGCUUGAAACUGGGUUCUGUUUGUUUUGGAAGAAAAUUUUCUCUGUACAAUGAUGACUCACAAGCUGCAAGUCAAAGAAGAUAAGAAGAAAUAAUCACCAGGGAAAUGAAACACAGAAACAGAAACAAAAAAGCCUGAAGUGCUUCAGGUCCAUGGGACUGAGAGAAUAAGUGUGUAUCCUGUGAUGCACUUGGUUGUAUGACAGUAGUUUUCCUCCUGCGUUUCCGUCUCACUAAAAUUAGAGGUUGGAGCUUGGGGGAUGUGAGUUCAGCUUCUGAUUCUGCAAAGCUUCCUGUGAGGUAUCAGAUGAAUUCUCAGAUCUCUCUGGGUCUCACCUGUACAACAGUAAUAACAUUCUUUGUCUGUUUAAAUUACUCCUUCUUCCUAUGAGUUUCUACUGGACCUAUGGUAACAGGGCCCUAAUGUAUCAUUAGACUCUCUAGCUGCCACUGUGCUAUGAAUAAUAAUGCUUAUUAAUCAUAAUAAACACGUCAGCACUGUCAGAGAGUGUGCACGGAGCAAGGAGAGCAGUGUCUGACAAUCACAUCCUGCCAUGUAAAGCUUGAGGUGGAAAAGGAGACUCAUUCUGCAGACAAUAUAAAACCCAGAGACGGCCAAAAUCUUCCUGCAGGCAAUGUUGGAGGAAAGAGAAAAGGUCAGUUUUGUUCUGAAAAAAAUAAGGCAGCAGCAUCCUGUGUGUUGUCUCUCUCUAAUGUGCCAAGACAGCUCCUGACAUUUACAGCUUGAGUAGUGAGGGAUCUGAGUUUGUGUCCAGUCCAAAAUAUAUAUAAUAACAGUAGUAAACCCUAAUUUAUAGGCUGAAAUCACCUAAGUUUACUCAUUAAGUCUUUCUGUCUUCUCCCUCCUUCAUCCAAGUCACCAUUUUGGUUAAGAGGCAAUGAAGGGCAGGAUUUAAGCCAUUCAAUCUGAUAAUCCCAAUUACCAGUCCUGUGUGCCAGCAAGUGAUGGACCGGGUCCUAUUUAUGAAUCACCAUAGCGAGAGAAAGGUGGAUUGAGGUCCACCUGGGAGAACCUCAUACUUUGAACACUCAAGAAUUUGAUCCUAUGGUAAGGCACAACUCAAAGUGGGCCAGGUUGGACCUCGUUUGCCAGAGUCGUGUGAAAAACUGAGAUCUUUCCAAACUCAGCUGUGGUGGGAUCCACCCUUGCCCAUAUAAAAUAGUUGCUGCUGCAUACAGUGGGGAGGUAAGUUCAGAUUUUGGACUACUUGUCCUAAACCAAGAGAGAUAAAUCCUUUGAAGCUACUGGAGUUACUUGAGACUUCAGCUGGUGUAAAGGAGGUCAGAACCUGCUUCUAGGUCCUUUGAUUGAAUCUCAUUGCUUGAUCUUUGCUGGAGAUACUUGCCGCAGAGUUAGUCAUCUUUGUGUCCUGAACAGACCUCACAGCACUCUCUAUGAAUCAGAAUUACCUGCUGGGAGGAAUGGUCUGUGAGCUACAGGGUUGGAUUUGGGAACAAAUAAGAAGGAAAUUCUGUAUGUUGAGAAGCUAAUCAACCCAAAAUCUGCAAAAAGUAAAUGGUUUGCUGUGCAAUCAGGAAACAAGUUUCCCUUCUUACCUGAUUGCCUGUGGGUAAUUACAGGUGGCUGAUUUCUUCUCCCCUGGAGCAAGCCUGAUCCUUUGCUCUGGUGUAAUCCACUCCUGGCCACCCCUGCCAGCCCCACCAGUGUGGGAGCCAGACUGGAGCAGGACCUUUGGCCAUCGCCACAGAGCAACUACCAGCACUGACCUCCGACUUUCUUCGACAACAUCUCCUCAACUCUGUAGCCCAAGCCAGGAAUCGUUGGCCUUAACUCAGGAAAGUGUAUGAAUGUCCAUUUUUCUAUUAAAUUCAUAUCAAGUUGGUGCUACUUUAAAUGCUGAAAGAAGUUGGACACUCAAAACCCACUGAAUAUCUGUGGGAUCUGAAGGCUCAGUUGCUUUGCAAAUCUGAGCUUCAGAGGUGUCCUGGUAUGUGAACUCAGUCAACAUGUCAUGUGUGACUGCCUGUAUAAUUUUCUCACUGUGGCACUGCCAAUACCUUUGUGCAUAUCAAUCACUCCCCGAUUGUUUUGAAACAAAACAAACGUUAUUUGCAAAGCAUGUCUGCUCACAGCAGUUCUCCAAACUGUUUUCAUUGUGUGCAUCACCCAUGCCAGGAAAACGUGUAUAUCUCCAUGUAAAAACCAUUUGUGUGCCCUACCUUCAUCAGUCCACACUACUCAACCUGUGGUCCACCCCCUGGGUUAUGCCAAAGGACGGUGAUGAUGCAUUCGCUGCUGUGUUCCCGUUGCUGCUGACAGACAGCAACAGCCAUGAUGGAAGCAACAAAAAGCCCCACGAUUACUUAACACAUGCCCUUGCAGCAAACAGCCCCUGGAAUUUCCAGCUGCUCCCACGCUGUGCCAGGCUCUCGGUACACCUUGCUAAUCCCCCAGCACAAGCAUUUCUGCAAGAGAAGAAAUACUGCUUAGUUCAGGCAGGAGAACAGCAAGGCAGAAAAACAAAGCUUUGCCUUAAGCCACCAUUUCAAAUCCGUGGUGGAGACUGUAACAAAUGCCAGGAGAUUCCCAGUCCCUUGUUUCAGCCACAAGGCAAAUCCUAUUUUUGCAGCGACUUGAGUAGCUCACUAAGACCAAUUGACUGUAGCAUUCAAUUAAUCUUUACAAGCUUUGUGGCACUGUGGUUUGCCGGGGAUCCCAGAGCGCAAAAUAAUUUUCAUUUUAACCGUUUUUUAGCUGUGGAUAUUAAAGACAUGGGUGGAUUGAAAUAACCCCACGUGGUGCAUCUGUGAUUUCUACACCUUUUUCAUUGUCUUUGAUGUGGGAGCUGGACCAGCAUGUUCUCCAUGUCAGUACACCAUCUAAUAUGUUGUUUAAAGAGUUGCUGUAAUGUCAAUACUACAGGGUAAAAAUGUGUCAGCUUAUGUUUUAUCUAAACAGAGAGCACAAAUGCUUACCCUGCGCUGCCUUCGGGAGAAGUGGCCAUGGCUGGGGACAAAGCCGUGGUGGCAGCCAAACCAUGUCUGAUCCUGAGAUGUCACCCUUGACAUACAGUCCUUUGGGCAAAGUCAUUCAAAAGGACAAGCAGAAAAUCAUACCACAGACUAAGACACAGAACCUGCAUCUCUCAGCAGACUGGAUGUGACAGAUAGAAUAAGACCCCAGGAUCCAGCCAUGGUAAAAAAUAAAAAGGUUGGUUUAAAAUAUUGCUGGUUUAGUAAGUGGAGAGAUUGGAGAACCCUGUGUCAUUAAGAGGGUUAUUGUUUUACCCCAAUUUUUCCCCAGUGUUAAUGCAGUCAGAUUGAACAACCACAUCCUGACCUCAUCAUAAGCAGAUGAGACCUGCUUUGCCAUGGAGUAUGUUUGUCCCCAUGGAUGCUGGAGAGCCACCCAGUCUGUGCAGAUGGCUCUUGUGUUUGGAAGAGCUGAGUGAGCUGCUUCUCAUCCUCACAUGGAGCUAAAGCUAGCAAAGAUUGGGUGGACUUUCCUUUGCAGCAGCUCUCCACAGACAACACGGUGUGUAUCUGGCUUUCCUUGCUCUUUUCCAUCGCCUUUCCUAUGUUGUCAGUGUACCGCCCUCUCACGAGCAGGAGACCUCUGCAAGUCCUCCUGUCCCCCGCGUGGUGCUGGGACCUUCCUUUUCCCUCUCAGCCCUCUUUAGCAGGGUCCUACUUGAGCUUGCCAUGGACAGCAGACACAUCCCCAUUUAAUUCUACUCGUCUGUGUUGUAUUCUUCCUUUCUGUUUUCCAGGAUUAAUUUUUUUUCAGCCUUCUCAGGUAUAUCAUUGUCAUGGAAGUUGUUUUACUCACCUCUGAGUUGUAGUAUAUCAAUACCAAUGACAGAACCCAAGGAAAUGGCAGGAAGAUGUGCCAGGGGAGGUUUAGAUUGGACAUUAGGAAAAGGUUCUUCACCCAGAGGGUGCUGGAGCACUGGAACAGGCUCCCCAGGGAGGCGUCACAGCCCCAAGCUUGACAGUGUUCAAGAAGAGACUGGACAACACCCUCAGACACAUGGUGUGAACUGUGGGGUUGUCCUGUGCAGGGACAGGAGUUGGACUUGAUGAUCCUUGUGGGUGUCUUCCAACCCAGGACAUUCUGUGAUUCUAUGACACUAUAGCACACAUAAAAUUAAGGCCUUUGGACCAUUUAAUUUCCAUUUCCAUUCUCUUUCUUUUCCCUUAAGACUUGCUCUGUGACUACUUUUGCAGCUAUGACCCUGUACUAUAUGAACUAAGAUUGGUCGUACAUGUUUUUACAGAGGGAAGAAAAUUUAAAGGACAUAAAGGCUGAGAAAAAUGUGCUCCAGGGGCUGCUGUGCCAGCUUGUGACUUGGGAGAGCUGUUUCCACAUCCUGUUCAGACUUUCCUCAUGACCUUUAGUGAGUUAUUUAGGACCUGAUCCUCCAGGCUCUUCAAACCUUGGAAGGCCUGGGGGAUUUGGAUGUGUCUACUUUGCAGAAAUAUCAGCUGGCUGUGCAGACUGGGAUUCAUCAGGGGUUGGUUUGUCUUGCUGUGAAUAAGUAAGUGCUUAAUUAUGAUUUAUGAUUACUUUAAACUGGAUAUUUCUGUUACAUCUCUACAAAACUGCAGCCACUUUUUGAUUGUAGUGAAGACAUGCACUUAGUGUCACUGCAGACCUGCCAAGGGUACACAUGCACUGAAAACUGGGGGACGAUUAGGGAAUUCACAGAAAUUAGCACCAACUGAGCAUGGCAAAAAGUCCUUCAUGUUUGGAAAUAAGAUUAUGCUAAACCACAAAGUGAGUCAGCAAUUGUUUGGCUUGAACAAUACCAGGGACCAGGCUGGUGGAAAAUCAACACUGUGAAGGUGUUGGAGUGGUCUUGGGAAUUAUUAUGGUCCAGGGUAGCAGCACUCUCUUAAACAAAGGUUCCAGAGUUAGCCUGGAUCAGGGAAUACUAAUAGUAGGAAGUUUGCACAUGCUGUGGACAAAGACACUUAAACACCUCCCGGUGAACACAAUGAGGAAGAAUCUGUUAAUUUAAAGAAUCUCAGUGAGUUUCUGUCAAGUCCAUCGUCAUUUCAAAGUGGCUGCACCUUACACAAGUAGUCUGAAGGAGUAGAAGGAUAAAAAGGUUUUUAAUCCACCUUAUUACAUGAGCCGCGAGAAGACCAACCAGAUCAAGCUCUGCACAUGAGUAGAAAACCUUUGUGGAACCUGACAAGGCUUAGUUGUGCACUUGAUGUCUACAGAGACAUUUCUGGUCUCACCCCCAAGUCAUCCCUCAUGGUGCCCUACAAAUAACUGUGAUUCUAGCUCCUCUUUCCCUUCCCCUUAACCCCACUUACUAGCUAAAAUCCCUGCAUCCUCAUUUUGUUACUAUGUUAUACUCCUUCACCCAGAAGGUACCUUAAGACAACAAGAUGCACUUGAGUUCUCAGGGCUGAGGCCUAAUAUUCUGACCUGGAUUAAAAUGUGCUACAUAAAUAAAGCUAAUUUUUGCUUUAUUUUCUAGGGGAAAUCUCACUGAGGUGUGUCUUUUAGGCUUUAUCCAGGUCCAAGAGGAGCACAUCUAUGUAAUACAGGAGUCCUGAGCUCACAGCGCUGCCCAAGCAUGGCCAGCACUCUUCAGAAUGAGGCCUCUGAUCUACAGGUCAACGAUUGCUCAGGGAAAACAAAACUAACUUUGAGACCUUUGUCGAGGCCCACAGUAAAGAUUCAAUGAAAAGGAUGAUUCGAGAAGAAACUUUUCAGAGCAAAUCAACGCUUCCACCAAAAGACACUUUUGGGGAGAAAGCGGGCUUGAAGUUUAAAGAACAUAUAUUGUGAAAAAUGGUUACAAAAGGAGGUAUCUAGUGUUUGAAAUAUCUGGCCUUGCUAUGCUUUCACCGAUCGUUGGGCUGUAUCAGGUGCAGGUGGAUGGCUUUGCUUGGUUAAAUCAACAUGAUGGUCCUUGUAACACUGGCCUGACUGUACGAAAAGAAAUUACAAACAGGUGCAUAUCACAGUCGAGCUUUUGUGACCAGCAGCAAAGUGCAACUUAGAGUGAAGGGUAACAGAAAAGCAGAAAAACAUGAAUUUGGGGAUUAAAAAAACCAUGGUAAGCUCAUGUGGCUGCCUUCUCAGUUUGAUUUCUGCUUGGAGUUUAUUAUUUUCAACUGAGUUCUGAUUUCUCUGGGUGGAGACAUGAUCUAGAAGAGAAAUUCUGGCUUUGAAGCACAUUUCCAUGAGUAAAACAUUGCAUUUCCAACUUAGCACUGGUUUCUGAACACUAAAUGCAGCUUUGCAGCUUCUCAACAGAAUCAAAGGUAAAUAACAAAAUAUAAUUUGCAGAAAAAAUUAGUUCAGGUUGCCACUGUAGAGCAAGCCUAGGAUGGACCUCCUGAGCCUCACGCCCUGAUGUUCACAUUACAUCAAUAGUGAAGGGAAAUGAAGAAAUAAGGAAAAAACAAUCUCUCUGCAUCAGUGUGUAACUGUGCUAUAUUUUAUAGAUGAAUGAUAAUGCUUAAUGGCUUCAGAAUAAAGAGAGGAGCUCGGGGUCUCCAUUGAAUGUCACCUCUGAGCACUGUAGUGCAAUAUUUUUGAUAUAAUUCGAAUCUGUGCAGGUCUAAUUCACUCAUGCUUCAGCCUCUGAAGUGAGGAGGUGCGGGAGUGGGGUCACAGCCAGAGUGAGAGCGAGUCAGUGAGUUUAAAAGAAAAAUAACAUUAGUAGAUGUGAACAUGGUGUCAGUCUGAGACCCUCACGGACGGCUCCUCUCUCUGCUGCACUCAGGCUGAGAGUGGCUUAGUGAAUUCAUAGCUGUGAACUGCUUUGAGAUUUCUAUGGGAGAGGAAAGCAGGUGUCAAACAUUGUUAUUUACACUGCGUAAUUGCAUAAGGAAAAUCCUAGAAUCAGAUGGAUUCCCUUAAUGAUCCUUUUUCAAGCCUUUCUAGCUAUAAAUAGGUUUGUAAGUUUAAGAACUGGAAAUAAGCCACCAGCACUGCGACUGACUAUUGUGAGGAGGUUUUAUUAAUUUUGGUUUGGGGGAAGGGGCUGGGUUAAAUCAGAGAGGGGCAGAGAGGGCUGAAUCUGGCCUGUGCCUGUUUGACCAUGGGCUGGGAUCCACGAGGGUGAGGCACUAGGGAAAAUGGAAGAAAAGCAACACAAAAUCAAUGGAACCAAUAUUAUACAUGCCAAAUAUUAAGGUUUUUGAAAAUAAGCAGAGAUAACUAUAAAAGGUCUGUGUCUAGCUGGAUAAAAAUAGUUAUAGGUUUUGUACAGAGAGGAAAAGCACAAGCAAAUAGACUUGUGUUGUAAGAAUUCCUUUAUGCGAGUGGAAAGACCUGUGUUUCUCGCAGCAGAGAAUGUUACACCACCAGUCGUUCUCUUUGCAAUCCAGUGCCAGUGUGGCCAAGCAGCAGCAGCACAGGAAAACUGAGUAGCUGUGAUGGAAAUCAGCAAGUCCAUAGUAAAACCCACAACACCAGCUGGAAACAAAGCAGGACGCAGUUCUGGUUGUCUACCCUCCUUUUGUCUGCCAUCGGCAGGCUCUGAGAGAUCACAGGGUGGUGCUGAGGUGAAGCAGGACUGCUGAAUUAGGAUCUCUUCCCUCCCCAGCAACUUGGAAAUGCUUUACUUACUUUGUCAACUGUACAGACUCCAGGUACUGAACUGAGGACACCAUCUGCUUGGAGCAAGACAGCAUGUGGAAGGAACACAGCCAAGUGCUAGAGCAUACAGCAUCCCACCAGUGCUUCUUCCAGGAGUGGAGGCCAGUCUUUAGGCUUUAGACCCUCUUAGCCCUAUUGGACAAAAUUUUUGUAGCUUCUUAAGGACAAACUUCGGUGCUAUUCAUUGGGAAUGUAGUAAAGACCAACCAGCCUUUCUCUAUUUGCAGAGUAAUGCUUAUUUUCACAUUAUAAUUUGCAGAGCUUGGGGCCUAUAAGAAAGAUAGGGACAGACUUUUUAGCAGGGCCUGUUACAGUAGAGCAAGGGUAAUGGUUUUAAUUUAAAAGAAAGGAGAUUCAGGUUAGACAUGAGGAAGAAAUUUUUCACAGUGGGGGUGGUGAAACACUGGCCCAGGUUGCCCAGAGAGGUGGUGGAUGCCCCAUCCCUGGUGACAUUCAAGGCCAGGCUGGAUGGGGCUCUGAGCAACCUGAUCUGGUUGAAGAUGUCCCUGCUCAUUGCAGGAGGGUUGGACUGGAUGACUUUUGAAGGCCCCUUCCAACCCAAACUGUUCUGUGAUUCUGUGAACAAAUAACUGUGCAACUGUAUCACUAAAGACAUUUCUUAACAAACUGUGCCAACAAAAAUAAUUCUAAUUAUCUGUAGUAUCUCAGAUGCUUACACAUCUCUGGCCAGAAACUGUCUGGAAGGGACUCUAAAACCAUCCUCCUCCAGAACUACUCACAAGAGUAGAUUGAAGUCCACAAAAUGGCCCAGACUUCACACUCAGUAUGACUCCUGAAGACACCAAAGUAGCUUUAGUGACUUCUGCAGGACACGCUCUGUGCUAGCCCUUGGUUUAUUGUCUACCUACUCCAUCUUUGACCAAUAUUUCUAAUGAAAUUUGCUCUUAACAGCAGUUACUUCAUAGGGUUCCCUGUGCAUUGCACCAGGAUUCUGCCUCUCGGUGGGAUGGCCAGGUUCUUUGCUUGUGCCAAGUGAGAUACAAGGGCCCAGGCUUGCAGGUAGAGGUUAUGGGAAUUAGAUGGCAGUGGAACUGCUGAGUUCUACAUGCUCAAGAGAUGUUUUAAUCAAAUGUCAUUUUUACAAACAGAACAAGGCAAGUGAAAGAGGUUUUUUGCAGCUUAUUUUUUCUCUUCCUUUUCUGGCAAUGAUCAGUUAGUAAGACACUUCCCAAAUUCUGAAGUUAUUUUAAUCUUGGUGGGUCAGAGUUACUUUUUCAGUCUUUAAAUACAGAGAACAGAGAAGUUACCUGUCCUUGUAGCCUCACGUGGUGAGCCCACAGCAGAAGUGGGAACGUCCCCGAGCAUCCCGGUCCUGCCCAGCCAGUCUGUUCCCAGCCCCACUGCCGGCUUGUCCCAAAGGAUACAGCCUGAGGCAGGGCUUGGGGGUGACAAAGCCAUGCAGAGGGAAACCCCACAUCAUCUUAGUGCACAAAAGUACACAGUGUGUAAAAAACUACAAUCCCAUCUUCUGCCAGGGCCUUCCCAGAGCACUGACACCCCCUAUCAGUAGCAGAGGCCAAUGUGGUUGCACACAUAGUGAUUAUUCCCCACUCACAGUCGCUGUGAGGGGCAGGUUUGUGUCUGGAAACCACUUCUCAUGGCUGAGUCGCCCCUUGCUGCAGGACCCUGUGAGGAUGGCAAAGUGUUGGCUCCAGAAGUGCUUUUGAAAGAUAGAGUACAAGUGAAGGAAUCAGACUGACUUCUCCCAGGAAUGGGAAAAGAAAGUGGGGAUGAGGAACAAGGUAAAGUCAUUGGACUCCACUAAUUAGGGAAGCUCAUUCUUGGGAUCUAACUUUUGAAUCUCCAUGUCUGGUCUCCUCUGCUGAGAAGUUAAAGACCUUUAGCUUGAGAUCCUCAGACAAUAAACACCUUAGAAAAAUCAGGCCAAACAUAUAAAAAUCACUGUGUACUUAAGAAAUUGUGGGCUCUGCACACUGCAUUAGAAGCCUGUUUUCAAUAGCCCCAGAGUUACACUUCCCAAACAGAAAAUGCUUGUGCUUUUUCAAUCAUCGGAAUUAUAUUGUAGAUUCAGGGCUUGGCUGCUGUUGGAAAGAGCAUAGAGAAUGAAAUGUAGUGUAGAUCCUACUGGGUAACACAUUCCUUAAUGGCAUUUUUAAAGCAUUCCACAUUGGCAAUAAAAUAUAGAAAGGAGGAGAACAGAGGACAGCCUUCACUGAAAAUGGAAGAGAAAAAAAUCAAAAUCACAAGAGCUUUUCAGUGGUGUGGCUGUGGCAUCGCUCUGUCUGCUGCUCAGAGCAGACGUUGUUUCCAAAAUACACACAGCACAAAUCCAGCAGAGCAAGACUUGAAUAGCUAGUCAUGGUCCCCUGGAUUUAAAUAGGUUGCCAACUCCCUAUGGAAAGGGACACCAAAAAUAACUAAAUCUGGAUCACUGGAGUAUUCCAGUUGCCCCUCAAAUAAACAACCUCUGCAGAAACAUUUGAUUUCCAGCAGUUUCCCAUUGAAACUACAAAGAUCUGGUCAUGGUGCCCAGUGACAUGUGAAACUGUUAAUCCCAUUCUCAGGAUGAUUAGGGGUAUUUAUUUGUGAGAAGGAUGUGAUUUAUCACAAAAGAGUGGAGAAUUUCACAGGACGGUACCAGGCUCCAUACAAUUGUGGUGGAAAGGUCAGCACCAAGCAGGAAUUGUUUUGCACGGUCCUGGAAAUGUUUUAGUUCUUCUUCCAAGUGAGUCCUGCUGAAGGCCAAGCUUACAAAUGGGCUUAAGAGGGACUUCAGCUGAGGCAUCCUACUAAGAUCCAUCCCCAAGUCUUUCAUCAUGUCGUAGGCGGUCAGUGAUAAAGAGGGAGAGGGAAGAAAUGUGACAGGCAGGUGCAUGCGUGACAGUCUGUUUCUCAUUAAUGUCUUGCCUUUAAUCACAAAUAAUCAGAGCCUGACUUAGUCCCCAAAAUGGGAGACUUCUGUCCCUUUUCCAAAAUACUUUUGAUUACAAACUAUCAUUGCAUAGUCUUGCUGACUACAGAACUGGUCAGGUGUCUUUGAUUUGACUUCAAUGACAAUCUACAGACAGGCUGUCCAGAGCCAAACUGUGUGAAAUAAAAGCAAUUUUCUUGUUUGGGUGAAAGAUAUUUGCUAUUUCAGUUAUACACGAGUGGUAGUGCUCUGGGGGAAUGUUGCACCUGGAAUUUCAGAAGAUAUUUUGCCAAGAAACCACUGCUUGUAGAAAAUCUGCUUGCAGCAGUGCACCUUUGAGUCCUCUCUUCCUCCUUUAGUUUUGUUUUUGUUUUCAGGAAGCCAUCAUUCCCACAGCUUGGGAAAGAAGGGAGAGCUGCAUUCAUAAGACCUGCAAGGACAGCCAGUGCUCCCAGGGAGCUUCUGCAAACACAUCGCAGCAGGCGAGGAGCAGCACUGUCCUGAGACCAGGCCGCACCAGCGAGCUGAUGGUGGUUUCCUGCUUCUGGGACAGACCGGAGCAAUUGCUUUGUAAUCCGAUUGAGUUUUGGCCAGAACACAGCCCGGGAGAGUCUCUGCUGAGCCAUUCCUCUUCGACAGCUGGCAGCAAUUUGUGGACGGCAGGAACGCCUGCCGAGCUUUCGGCGCAGAGGUGGAUCCGGGCUUUGGCAGAGCUCGCCAAUGUGAGAGACACCUGCUCCUGCCUCCCAGCUCCCACCUGCUCAUAAAAGCCUCAGUGUCUCUCAAGACAGAAAUUUUCCUAUCACUGGUGAAAUGUGGGAGCCCUCAGCAUAAAAAAACAUCCCUCUUUC